rnacentral:tRNA from 1 species
GUGUGCCCGAGAAUAAAGGGACUAUUUUGAUAGAAUAGGCACAGAGACCAAACUCUCACUUCCA